UACGAAGGGAGCUAGCGUUGUUCGGAAUCACUGGGCGUAAAGCGCACGUAGGCGGAUGUGUCAGUCAGGGGUGAAAUCCCGGGGCUCAACCCCGGAACUGCCUUUGAUACUGGUAGUCUCGAGUCCGGAAGAGGUGAGUGGAAUUCCGAGUGUAGAGGUGAAAUUCGUAGAUAUUCGGAAGAACACCAGUGGCGAAGGCGAACUUACUGGACACAUAUUGACGCUGAGGUGCGAAAGCGUGGGGAGCAAACAGG
rnacentral:rRNA from 1 species